rnacentral:rRNA from 1 species
UGGGGAAUAUUGCACAAUGGGCGCAAGCCUGAUGCAGCGACGCCGCGUGAGGGAUGACGGCCUUCGGGUUGUAAACCUCUUUCAGCAGGGACGAAGCGAAAGUGACGGUACCUGCAGAAGAAGCACCGGCCAACUACGUGACAGCAGCCGCGGUAAUACGUAGGGUGCAAGCGUUGUCCGGAAUUAUUGGGCGUAAAGAGCUCGUAGGCGGUUUGUCACGUCGGCUGUGAAAACCUAGGGCUCAACCCUGGGCCUGCAGCCGAUACGGGCAAACUAGAAUUCGGUAGGGGAGACUGGAAUUCCUGGUGUAGCGGUGAAAUGCGCAGAUAUCAGGAGGAACACCGGUGGCGAAGGCGGGUCUCUGGGCCGAUAUUGACGCUGAGGAGCGAAAGCGUGGGGAGCGAAC